GGCUCCAUAGCAUAGUUGGUUAUUGUACUUCCCUAGUAAUAGGAAGGGGUCACGAGUUCGAAUCUCGUUGGAGCCU